CCUACGGGAGGCAGCAGUGGGGAAUAUUGCGCAAUGGGCGAAAGCCUGACUCAGCGACGCCGCGUGUGGGAUGAAGGUCUUCGGAUCGUAAACCUCUGUCAGCAGGGAAGAACGGUCACUGUGCUAAUCAGCAGUGAAUUGACGGUACCUGCAAAGGAAGCACCGGCUAACUCCGUGCCAGGAGCCGCGUGCAUACGGAGGGUGCGAGCGUUAAUCGGAAUUAAUGGGCGUAAAGGGCUCGUAGGCGGUAUGUCCAGUCAAGGGUGAAAUCCCCGCGCUCAACGUGGGAACUGCCUUUGAAACUGGAAAACUGGAGUGUGGGAGAGGAUAGUGGAAUUCCAGGUGUAGGAGUGAAAUCCGUAGAUAUCUGGAGGAACAUCAGUGGCGAAGGCGACUAUCUGGCACAUAACUGACGCUGAGGAGCGAAAGCGUGGGUAGCAAACAGGAUUAGAUACCCCGGUAGUC
rnacentral:rRNA from 1 species